GACGAACGCUGGCGGCGUGCUUAACACAUGCAAGUCGAACGGAAAGGCCCUGCUUUUGUGGUGUGCUCGAGUGGCGAACGGGUGAGUAACACGUGAGUAACCUGCCCUUGACUUUGGGGUAACUUCAGGAAACUGGGGUUACUACCGGAUAGGAGCUCCUGCUGCAUGGUGGGGGUUGGAAAGUUUCGGCGGUUGGGGAUGGAUGCGCGGGUUAUCAGCUUGUUGGUGGGGUAGUGGCUUACCAAGGCUUUGACGGGUAGCCGGCCUGUGAGGGUGACCGGCGACAUUGGGACUGAGAGACGGACCAGAAUCCUACGGGAGGCAGCAGUGGGGAAUAUGGUACAAUGGGCGGAAGCCUGAUGCAGCAACGCCGCGUGCGGGAUGACGGCCUUCGGGGUGUAAACCGCUUUCGCCUGUGACGAAGCGUGAGUGACGGUAAUGGGUAAAGAAGCACCGGCUAACUACGUG
rnacentral:rRNA from 1 species